rnacentral:rRNA from 1 species
AACGAACGCUGGCGGCAUGCCUAACACAUGCAAGUCGAACGAGACCUUCGGGUCUAGUGGCGCACGGGUGCGUAACGCGUGGGAACCUGCCCUUAGGUUCGGAAUAACUCCCCGAAAGGGGUGCUAAUACCGGAUAAUGUCUUCGAACCAAAGAUUUAUCGCCUUUGGAUGGGCCCGCGUUGGAUUAGCUAGUUGGUAGGGUAAAAGCCUACCAAGGCGACGAUCCAUAGCUGGUCUGAGAGGAUGAUCAGCCACACUGGGACUGAGACACGGCCCAGACUCCUACGGGAGGCAGCAGUGGGGAAUGUUGGACAAUGGGCGAAAGCCUGAUCCAGCAAUGCCGCGUGAGUGAUGAAGGCCUUAGGGUUGUAAAGCUCUUUUACCCGGGAUGAUAAUGACAGUACCGGGAGAAUAAGCUCCGGCUAACUCCGUG